GCCUUCAUGAAGCCGGAAUUGCUAGUAAUGGCAGGUCAGCAUACCGCCGUGAAUACGUUCCCGGGCCUUGUACACACCGCCCGUCACACCAUGAGAGUUGGGAAUACCCGAAGCCUGUGAGCUAACGUUAAGAGGCAGCAGUCGAAGGUAGAAUCAAUGAUUGGGGUGAAGUCGUAACAAGGUACC
rnacentral:rRNA from 1 species